AACACAGUAAAAAGACUGAAGUUUGCCCAUUUCUGCUCAGGAAGUCUCUUUGCUCCUAAGCUUCAUAUGUUGUCCAAUUUGGCUUCAAAAUUUCUGCUAUUAUUACUGUUUCUCCUCCUUUUGAUCUUCCUUUUGUUCCCCAGUGCCAGAAUUUCCAGAGCCUUCUUGCUCAGAUGCCAUCUUUUUGUAUGCCAUUUCGAAGAGCUUCAGUGAUGCCUGCUGAAGAGAGGAUGCUGCUUGUCCAAUGUUUUCUCCCGUUUCGCUAUCUUUUCUAGCCAGAAGCCCCUUCAUUUUGGAAAUCUCUUCUUUUAGCUUUUGCACUUAUCAGCAGCGUGGUGAGGAGAAAGGAAGUGCCAGAUUUAUCCCAUGAUCUGAAAUUCGACCACAUAUGAGCAACUGUAUAUGAGAAAGAGCUACUAAAUAAGACAUUCCGUUUCCUGGUGAGGAAGGAGAGAGUAAUGACCAAACCAUGCUCCUGGUGUUAUAUAUCCAGUCAUUCAACAGGACCUCCCAACUAGAGCAAAAUGGAAAAAGAUAGUCUACCCUGUGUAUACUUUAUCUCAUGAGUGCCAAAAAGUUGAAUGAGUAUCACCAUGAAAAAAAUUGAAUGUGCAUUGCCACACUUAUAUUUGGAUCUAGACAAGAGCCUCAGUAAAUGAAUAAGAAGACGACAUAAAGUAUAAGAAGCAGGAACUCACCGAUCACUCACAUUAUUCUCUAAUUAAAGGUUCAUGCUUACCACACUCACUGAAAGUCCAAGAAUUCAGCCCAUAUUUAUGACAUGCAAGCUUUUAUUCCUAGCUCCAAACCAAACAUCCACAAAGAAACAUAAUACACCAUGUCCCUAAAAGCUGAUGAGUCAUUUAGCAUGCCUACUGAUAAAAGCACAAAAUAGGGAGUGUGGCCUUUUACUUAGUUUGAGAGGUAGGACCGAACCCCAAAUACAGCUACUUAUGUAUUUCCUUAUAGUUGUAUUCACACACACAGACACACAUGGUCAAUCAAACACAACACAAAGCUGGUUAAAAGAAAGUAUAAAAACCUUAGACUAAAACCUUUAGACUCUCUCCCCUCAAACUUUAUUUACU